UACGUAGGGGGCGAGCGUUGUCCGGAUUUAUUGGGCGUAAAGCGCUCGCAGGUGGUCCGAUGCGUCGUGCGUGAAAGACCCCGGCUCAACUGGGGGGCGUCGUGCGAUACGGUCGGACUGGAGGCCAGUAGGGGGAUGCGGAAUUCCGGGUGUAGUGGUGGAAUGCGUAGAGAUCCGGAGGAACACCAGCGGCGAAGGCGGCAUCCUGGACCGGUAUUGACGCUGAGGCGCGAAAGCCAGGGGAGCAAAGCGGG
rnacentral:rRNA from 1 species